GUUUAACACUCAGAUUUCACCUCCUCCGGGGGCUGACCCGGAUCUCCUAGGCGGAGAUCUUUGAGGUUCCAAAGUACUUGGCCCAAAAGUUAUCCAAGUGUUCUGACGUCAUCGUGCAACCCAAUCAGUGAAGGAUCCUGUCUGGAUAUGCAUUGUCCUAGGCCCACCCACAAACGUUUGGAUUAAAGAUCUGAGACAGGACCCAAAGUUUGAAUUUUUAACAAGAGUGCUUCCCAACCCCCAAAUUGUUCCCAUGUCACGCUGCUGUAUCUCCCCUCACCCACCGAGACUGGGUGCAUCUUGAAGGGAGAGAUGAUAUAUUACUCAUUCGGUGCCCACCACAGGCCCUGCCCAGAACGCAUGCUUAAGGCAUGAAAGAUGGAUGCAUAGAAGCCAAUACAUGAAUUAGUGAACAAACGAAUGAACCCGCCCUCUCCACGUCUGUCCCACCCAUCCAACUCCAGUGACCUGUCCUCCUCAGCCUGACCACCUCUCUUUCUUACAGGGUCGAGGCUCUUUGUGCACCCUCCCAACCGAGUCUUGCAGCUGCAGGUGUGUACACAUGUUCCAGUUCCUCUCCCCAGGGAGAGCAGGAGGUCCACUGGCCAACACUUAUUAAGCACCUGGUGGGAGUCAUCUGUGCUUGGAAGUUUAUUGCUGUUCUGAUGUUGAAGGAUACUAUGCCAAGUGACCACACAGAGGGCAUGGUGUACUGCCCUUGUCUAGGUGAAUCUGUAAUGUCUGUGGGAAUAUGGGAUCAUCUUGUGCCAGAUGUUCUAUGCACAAACAUCCUGAGACUGCUCAAAUAUACCAGCCAACGAUUUGACUGCAUUGGAUAUGCCUGUUGUUUUUUUGAUGACAUAAAUCCAUUUGAAAAUUUGAUCAUGCCAACACCUUCAGGCAAGUUUGGACCAUAGGAGGGCACAGAGAGAGCAUCUAGGCUUGUUUUUUUCCAGGAAGCACAAUCUCAGCCCUUGGAUAUCAGCUCUGCUGUUUUUCCAAAAGAUGUUGGCGAUGCAUGAGUUAAACCACACGCCCUUUUAUUUGACGGAAUGGAGAUGAAAUAUGUAGCUUACUGUCUGUAAAAGAACAUGAGAGAUUGAAGUAAUGCAAAAAGUCUAAAGGACGAAACUUUGGAAUUCUUAAAUAGAAUCUGAACACAUUUGUAUCCUGAGAGCUAAGUUCAAAGCCUGUGAAAUAAUUCUUGAAUGUGUGAGUUAAUGAAAGAAAAUUCAAUUUUUUUAAAGGGUGGAAAUUCUUGACUGAAAAACUAAGUAACUGAGUAAACACAUUACACAAACUUACUGGGAUGUCUGCAGGUGCCGCAAGGGAUGCCGAACACAGUGACAAGGGAAAAGGAGUUGGAGACUGGGAAUUGCCUUCAGAGUAAGAGAAAAACAGAAGAAAAAAGUGCAGAGCAGGAGGAGGGAGGAUGGGGCAGGGCUCUUAUCUGGCAGAGUGAUUUGAACUCUCUGAAUGUAAAUGAAGAUAACAGCAUAUCCUUAAAGUCACCUCCAUCGCCCUGGCUAAGAUUCUGGACAGAUAAAAUGCAUACCUGUUAGCCAUGAAGGCGGCAUCUUCAUGUAGUCUCAGCUACUAAAGAGGCUGAGGCAGGAGACUUGUUUAAGCCCAGGAGUUCGAGGCUGCAGUGAGCUAUAAUUGCACCACUGCUCUCCAACCUGGGCGACAGAGCAAGACCCUGCCAUAAACAAACAAACAAACACAAAAUAAGAAAGAAAAGAACAGAAAGAAAGAAAGAAGUAAGAAAGAAAGAAAAGAAAGAAAGAAAGAAAGAAAGAAAGAAAAGAAAAGAAAGAAGAAAGAAAGAGCAAAGGAAAAUGGCCUGGCAAUAGAGUAAAACUUUCUCUUUAAAAAAAAAAGAAGAAAAGAAAAAUAGAAAAACAAAACAAAGCCACUGGGGGCUCCAAAAAAUGGAGGGUGGGAGAAGGUUAAGAAUUGAAAAAUUAUCUUUGUGUGCAAUGCUCAUUAUUUGGAUAUGGAUUCACUAAAAGCCCAAACCCCAGCAUUAUGCCGUAUACCCAUGUAACAAACCUGCACAUGUAUUCCCUG
ensembl:lncRNA